AGCAGGAAGCGAGAGCAGGCCCACCGCCCGGCGCCGCGCCAAGGUCUCACGCAUGCGCCAAGUCCUGCGUCCGCAUGGCCCAGUGGUGGUUACCUAUACACUGCUUACUAGUGAUGGGCUUCACUGCGAUUUUCCGAUAUCAGUGAUUUCUGUGAAUGCUACUUUUCAGUAUCUGGUAUUCUUAACUGUGAUUUGUCGCAGUUAAGAGCCGCAGUUAAGGAACGUAGGUCGUGUAUCCUUCCGCCACUGCUUUUUCUGCGAUUUCUGCUACUUCUGCGAUUUCUGUGACUUCUGCUACUUCUGCGAUUUCUGUGACUUCUGCUACUUCUGCGAUUUCUGUGACUCCUGCGAUUUUUGCGACUUACCACCGUAUGAAAAAGUUACAUCUGCCCACACAGAAAAUUGCAUCUCAACAAACCUGUCAUUGGUACCGGAACUACAUUUCAGUCACUCAGUAAAUUGAUAACUCAAAAUAUCAUUGUCACCAGAUCUGGAGAAAUUGCCACUGCGUCUUUAGACCGUUUUCGUCAGACGAGAGACACAGUUCUGACUCUUGAUUACUGGUUGCUGUGCGUAUUUAUCCACAUCAAGUCUGUUGAGAGAGACUCAUGAAGAUUCAAGACAGCUCUUAGAGGAUUUGCAUUUUAAAAGUGACAUAAUUGUGAAAUAAGUGUGCAGAUGAUUGAUUAAACUGUGUUUUAUUGAAGUUGUUAUGCAAUUUUAAAGGAAUAAUAAAUGUUAAAUAC